AAUUCUCAACCAUGUCUUGAUUGAUUUCAAGGCCGUGGCUUGGAGUUUGGGGGUUUGCUGGCCUUCCUCUAGGUCGGCUCUCCUGAAAUGUAUUAGCGAUCUGGCGAGCAAUGGUCUGGAGUGUGGUGCAACGGCCUUUUCGACGUGAUAAUGAUCGUCGUGGGGGCUGGAGCUUUUUGGACCUUGCAUCAAAGCGAGUUCGCUUCCAACUCUCUCAAUCGAAUGGGUUUCAUGUGGGAGUCAUGCAUGUGUUUUGUGUUGUGUACGCUACAUGAGAUUCUUUGAUGAUCGAAAUAAA
rnacentral:misc_RNA from 1 species